rnacentral:rRNA from 1 species
UACAGAGGUCCCAAGGCGUUUGUUCGGAUUCACUGGGGCGAAAAGCGCACGUAGGCGGACUGGCAAGUUUGGGUGUGAAAUCCCUCAGCUUAACUGAGGACGUGCAUUAAAACUGCCAGCCUUGAGUACGAAAGAGGAUCGCGGAAUCCCGGUGUAGAGGUGAAAUUCGUAGAUAUGGGGAGGAACACCAGUGGCGAAGGGCGGCGUCUGGGUCGAUACUGACGCUGAGGUGCGAAAGCGUGGGGAGCAACAGG